UAUAUUGUGUUGGUUACAUUAAUGAUCUUAGGGAUCAUGGUACUUUGUGUUCAUUUAUGUUAGGUUGGUACCCUCACACACACACACACACACACACAGGCAUGGAAGAGGAAUUAGAGGGGAUGAGUAGGCGUGACCCUGGUGAGGAGGAGGCAGGGAGGAGCAGGAGGCAGGGGGGAAAGAGGAGGAAAAGGUGAUCUGUCUUGGAGUAGCAUGGAGCAUACACACACACACACACACACACACACAUCCAAAAUUAAUCCAGAAAAUAGAUAACCUCCAAAAUAACCUUAAAUAAUAAGUGAGGAAGAUUGACGGCCACCUUUGUUUUCAGCUGAGGUCCCUUUCCCCAAGCCACCAUGAUAGUUUGUCAGAGUCAGGCCGCAUUCUAAUAUUUAUUGUUUUUUAACUAGUUAUUUUGGUUAAAAGUAAGUUUUCAUGAUUUCUAAAAUGAUUUAGUUAUGUUUUAGGUGUUGUUCAUAUGUAUGUUAAGGGAAGUAUAUUGAUUAUGAGGUUGCUUGUAACGGUCGUUUUCUCGGCCACUUUAAAAAUUGUUUUAAUGCUUUUUUUUUUUUUUUCAUUUCAGCCGUUAGCUAACAUUUAAUUGCUUCUAAAAAUCGUUCAUGAUUUUUUAAUUGUUUUCCAUUCCUGUUCAGCUAGCUAUGUGGACUUUUAGAGUGAUUUAUAGGCAUGAUAAAAGUCGAAAAGUUGACAUUUUGUAUUAUUUUAUUUCUUUAUUUCAGCUUGUAACUAACUUUUGAUUGUUUGUAAAAAUAAUCUGAUUUUUUAAAGUGUUUUCAUUCCUAAUAGAUCAGAUUUAUGGACUUGAGAGUAUAUUUUUUACCGUGUUCCAACACUUUUUUAAUUACUUUUUUUUCAAAUAUUUUUAUCAUUAGUCAGGCUGAAAAUAUUUUCUUAUUCCCGGUAUUUGUUAAAGUUCAUGGCAAUUCAGAAAAUGUAAGGCAUUCCAUCCUAACUCCAUUUUUUCGAGGGGUCAAUUUCAUAUAGGAUCGCACUACGUAUAUAAGCUGUGACGUCAUCAUUCGCUACUCCAAGACAGGUCACCCCCCUCCACUUCUCCCGCCAACUUGUUCUUAUCUGCCCCGUUCCUCUCCCCCUGCGUGGGUCACCCCUCUCCCCUUUACCUCUUCCUUCCUCUCCCUGCCCGUGUGUGUGUUUGUGUGUUGGGAUAUUGCAAUGUACUCGUACUCAUAAUCAAACCCAAUCCUGCUACUGCUACCACUACUACUACUACUACUACUACUACUACUAGUAGCGCUGCUGCUGCUGACUCUAAGCUUAGUUCUCACAAGAGUUUGUAAUGAGCACUCCUCGUAUUUCUUCUUCUCGAUAGCCAGGAGCGAGUCCACAAUCGUUUUUACUCCAAGCACAUAAAAAUCAUAGCCACAGCAGCCAGACUGUUCGUCGGAGGAGGACUCCACCGUGAUUGUUUUGAUGGUGCGGGCCGGCGGCUGCUCUCGACCACAUGAAUGCUUUCGGCUGAAACCUGCCGGCAGUUCCAUGUAGCUGGAGCUAGCCGGGAGGAAAAAUUGCUCCGUGUAAACCCGCCUUUAGUGCUGACGAUGGUAAAAAGAAAACGAGUGUUAGCAAUUCCACCAUUUGCCUCACUACUGUUAUUAAUCAUUUGUUCCUCUAGUUAUCAUAGUUAGGUAGUUAUCAUAGUUAGGUAUGUAAUGUUUACAUUCUAAUACUUGUGAGUGAUGAUUUUUAUCUGAAUCUUGGUUACAUCAGUGGUUUGUGUUCAUGUCGACGUUUUGGUGGGCGGUGGUGGACGUAUCGCUAACCAAUAGUAAAUUCUUGAGAGAUGGACAUGAUGUCACCACCAGCCAAUCACAGCCUCCGCCUUGCUUCCUUCACGUCGCGCGGCGCGCAUGCCAGUCAAGUUCCCCAGUCCUCAGUCUGCUACUCACUCCACUUCUCCACCUGGCACGGGCUGUGGGUUGGUUACUGCGGUGUUCUUUUCUCCGUUAAGUGUUGGAAUCGCAGCCCCGCACGGUGCGUCUGUGUGUGCGUGUGCUGCGGUGUAAGUGUUGCGUGCAGCUGCAACCGCGAGAGAAGGGCUGUGUGGUGCUGUGGCUUCUGUGAGCUGCAGUUGCUGUCACCUCGGCAGUCGUCGCCGGCUCGGGUAGGUAGUACAAGGUUACGGGUUAUUGAAGGGCCGUAAUAACUCCAGCUGGCGGUCAAUGGCUGGUAAAGAUUUGAUGACGUCAGACGCAUGUCGGGAUUCCCUGUGACGAGGAGGCGACGCGAGCAUUUUUGGGACAGCUCUUGGUGACUGGUGGAAUGCUUGCCUAGGGUCACAUUCCCAGACACUGCCGCUCUGCUCUGUGAUGUGCUGCUGGAUGCCUUCGUGCUGUACCGUUCCCUGGGGGCGCGUCAUGUGUGUGGCUCAGACUCGUCACUCACUCUGGCUGAACACACGUGGCCUUUCCUGCUCUCAUGAACGUCCUGCACAAAAGUGAUCUGUCAAGCCACUGGUCUCCCUGCCAUCCUCGCCAGGCUCCCUCACGCACCCACAUUACAUCGCUCACAACACUACAUGAAUAUUUAUCGCCGCUGGAGCAUGGCACGGCUGCCCCUCAUGAAUAUUGAUCCAGUGCAGGGCGUGCGUGUCCAGGACUGUGAGGGAGUGAGUGUACUGCCGAGUGUCGAGUGUGUUGAGUGUUGCCUGGCGUGACCUGCCAGGGACGUGGCGGUGCGUGACGCGGCCCUGAGGAGGUGUACUAUUGGGAAAACUCUAGCCUGGUGUAAGAAUGAGUGAUAAAAACGCAAAAUUGUG